rnacentral:rRNA from 1 species
UGGGGAAUCUUCCGCAAUGGACGAAAGUCUGACGGAGCAACGCCGCGUGAGUGAAGACGGCCUUCGGGUUGUAAAGCUCUGUUAUUCGGGAAGAACGAUUCGUUUGUGAACAAUGAACGGAAGUGACGGUACCGAAAGAGAAAGCCACGGCUAACUACGUGCCAGCAGCCGCGGUAAUACGUAGGUGGCAAGCGUUGUCCGGAAUUAUUGGGCGUAAAGAGCGCGUAGGCGGUAUGGUAAGUCUGUCUUAGAAGUGCGGGGCUUAACCCCGAGAGGGGACAGAGACUGUCAUACUGGAGUCUCGGAGAGGAAAGCGGAAUUCCUAGUGUAGCGGUGAAAUGCGUAGAGAUUAGGAAGAACACCGGUGGCGAAGGCGGCUUUCUGGACGAGCACUGACGCUGAGGCGCGAAAGCGUGGGGAGCGAACAGG